rnacentral:sRNA from 1 species
UAAAAAUAAAAUAAAAAG